GACAGAGGUGCCAAGCGUUAGGCGGAAUCACUGGGUUUAAAGGGUGCGCAGGCGGCCUGGCGCGUCGCGAGUGAAAUCUCCUGGCUCAACUGGGAGGGUGGUCGCGAGACGGCUGGGCUUGAGGCUCGGUGAGGGGCGUGGAAUUCCGGGUGGAGCGGUGAAAUGCGUAGAUAUCUGGAAGAACACCAAAGGCGAAGGCAGUGUCCUGGGUGGUCGCUGACGCUGAGAGGCGAAAGCCAGGGGAGCGAACGGG
rnacentral:rRNA from 1 species